UACGGGAGGCAGCAGUGGGGAAUUUUGGACAAUGGGGGCAACCCUGAUCCAGCCAUUCCGCGUGAGUGAAGAAGGCCUUCGGGUUGUAAAGCUCUUUCGGCAGGAACGAAACGGUGAGCUCUAACAUAGCUCGCUAAUGACGGUACCUGAAGAAGAAGCACCGGCUAACUACGUGCCAGCAGCCGCGGUAAUACGUAGGGUGCGAGCGUUAAUCGGAAUUACUGGGCGUAAAGCGUGCGCAGGCGGUUGUGUAAGACAGGUGUGAAAUCCCCGGGCUUAACCUGGGAACUGCGCUUGUGACUGCACGGCUAGAGUAUGGCAGAGGGGGGUGGAAUUCCACGUGUAGCAGUGAAAUGCGUAGAGAUGUGGAGGAACACCGAUGGCGAAGGCAGCCCCCUGGGCCAAUACUGACGCUCAUGCACGAAAGCGUGGGGAGCAAACAGGAUUAGAUACCCUGGUAGUCCACGCCCUAAACGAUGUCGACUAGGUGUUCGGUGAGGAGACUCAUUGAGUACCGCAGCUAACGCGUGAAGUCGACCGCCUGGGGAGUACGGUCGCAAGAUUAAAACUCAAAGGAA
rnacentral:rRNA from 1 species